rnacentral:rRNA from 1 species
UACGGAGGGUGCAAGCGUUGUCCGGAAUCACUGGGCGUAAAGGGCGCGUAGGCGGCCAUUCAAGUCGGGGGUGAAAGCCUGUGGCUCAACCACAGAAUUGCCUUCGAUACUGUUUGGCUUGAGUUUGGUAGAGGUUGGUGGAACUGCGAGUGUAGAGGUGAAAUUCGUAGAUAUUCGCAAGAACACCAGUGGCGAAGGCGGCCAACUGGACCAACACUGACGCUGAGGCGCGAAAGCGUGGGGAGCAAACAGG